rnacentral:lncRNA from 1 species
CGUGGAGGAUAAUAUGAAACUGGGAUUGGGAUGCAUCAGAAAAGCCAAUGCAAUCUAAUUGUACGACCUCCGUUAUGGCGCGUAGCUGCAAGAUGGAGGCACACUACCUCUGAUGCUAAGACUACAUGCCACACAAUGCCCAUUGGCGCUGAAUUGCUGCUCGUCACAUCGAUAUGGCACCUUCAUGUACUGCAUUGUGGCCGUGAUGGUACCACUACUGGUCACCGAGUGUUGUUGACGUGUCCUCCGGAUUCGAUUUGUGAGAUAGUUUUGUGAUUCGCGUUCUUCCUCUCCCCCUCUUGUUCCAGGCUCAGUUAUCGUUUUGAAACAUUUUUGUUUUGUUUCUUUUGUGUUGAGAUGAAUUAGGAUGUGAGUUGAGCCUUUCCACCAAAGGACAUCUUUCAAUUCCUC